rnacentral:rRNA from 1 species
AUAUCACGUAAGGAAGAACAUGAGGGUUUGAUUCCAUGCUCCGUAAGCAUGCGAUACUAAACGGACUGACACAUGCAAGGGUAUAACGUACCCGUAAAGGUGAGGAUCAUGCG